rnacentral:lncRNA from 1 species
AGUUGCGGUGUUAGCUCUAGACUGUAAAGAAGGAAAUGUUUGCUGAAGGCAGAUAACACGUUCGACGACGCGGCCUUCAAAGCAACCACAUUGCAGAACAAAUGCGGCGCUGAUGCCGAGUUCAUGGCCGGGUACCCGACGUGCGUGAAGUCCACCAUGAAAUAUUUGAACUUCCUCCGACUAUUCAACUGCCUCGUGAAUGGUAAAUCCAGCGUGAUGUCACAGAAGAACAUUGAAAUGAGCCAGAAGAAGACGAACUGAGCGUCAGAAAACUUUUAUUCUUACCUAACCCAUUUAUUUCCUCUUAGACGUAUUGCUGACCAGAAAAAUGUAAUUGUUGCACUUUUGAAUUCGUAAUUCCUUCGAUUAUGUUUGUGGAAUGUUUAAUAUUUGGAUUACGGAUUUUUUUUACAGUCGAGUUUCACUCUCUCUUACCCAUUAAAUAAAGAUUCAGGGAAUGGAUGGUAGGAUGCAUUUACUAUAUUCAUUUAUCCCUUUGCAUGCAUUAUUUACGAAUUAUGCUACCACACGUAGUUUCUGGGAUAUAUUCUAUAGCUAUUAUGUAACAACACAAUAAAUGAUUUAAAUGCGACCCAA